GUGCAGCAGGCGAGAAACCUCCGCAAUGCUCGAAAGAGCGACGGGGGACUCCAAGUGCCUACGCUCAGCGUAGGCUGUUCCCGAGCCUAAAAGCUCGGGGAGUAAGGGCUGGGUAAGACGGGUGCCAGCCGCCGCGGUAAUACCCGCGAGCCCGAGUGGUGGCCGCUAUUAUUGGGCCUAAAGCGUCCGUAGCCGGCUCGGUAAAUGCCUGGGUAAAUCGUCUGGCCCAACCAGACGAAUUCCCGGGGUAGACUGCCGGGGCUAGGGGA
rnacentral:rRNA from 1 species